CGGCCCACUCUAAUUAACGUCCUCCCCUUUUACCAAAUGAUCGCGACAAAGCCUAAGUGAAAGCAACCGAGAUCAUUAUAUAUUUUUUUGCGACAACAACUAUUCUUGAACUAAUGUCUGCCAUGUCUACCUCAGCUAAUUGUCCAGAACCCGAACAUUCCGGACUGUUAAAGUUUUCAUCUGCUGCGUUCUACGCUGUCAGUUCUUUUUUGAUCAUUGUUGUGAACAAAACGAUUCUCACAAACUACAGAUUUCCCUCCUACAUGUUUCUAGGAAUUGGCCAGAUGACUACUACAAUCCUCAUUCUCUAUUUUGCUAAAAUGAACCAAACAGUUCACUUCCAAGACUUUGACAGAAGUGUUCUCGUCAAAAUCUUCCCCCUACCUUUGCUGUAUGUUGGAAACCACAUAACAGGACUGGCUAGUACAAAGAAGUUAAGCUUACCCAUGUUCACGGUAUUAAGGAAGUUCACCAUAUUGAUGACAAUGAUCAUGGAAGCAAGGCUAUUGAGAAAAACAUUCCCUAAUCGUCUUAUCUACAGUGUUCUGGCCAUAGUUUUUGGAGCUUUGGUGGCUGCCAGCUCUGACUUGGCCUUUGAUGCAGAGGGCUACACGUUCAUUCUGCUUAAUGAUGUCUUCACUGCUGCCAGUGGUGUGUACACCAAGAAGAAGCUGGGAACUGAGGGUCUUGGAAAAUAUGGGAUCUUAUUUUACAAUGCAUUCAUCAUCGUCAUCCCAACUCUUCUGGCAAGUGCAUUUACUGGGGAUUUACACAAGGCCAUCACAUAUGAAUACUGGUUGAAUGCCCCCUUUGUUUCCUGCUUCCUUAUUUCCUGCCUCAUGGGGUUUGUGCUGAUGUAUUCCAUAGUGCUGUGUAGCCACUACAACUCUGCACUGACCACCACGGUGGUGGGAGCAAUUAAGAACGUUGCUGUGGCCUACAUCGGCAUGUUUUUAGGUGGAGACUACCUGUUUUCAUGGACCAACUUCCUGGGGUUAAAUAUUUGUAUAUCAGGGGGACUUGUGUAUUCCUACCUGACGUUCCACAGCAGCAGCAAACCAUCCCAAAGCGAUGAAAGCGGAAUACAGGGAAACCAGGACCAGCUGAUCAUUCCCUUGAUGGAAGAUUCCAUAGACAGACUCCCUGUGAAAUAAGUGAAUAAACCUGUGAUGAACCAGGCAAACUUCUAUCCCAAGCAUACUGCGUAGGGAGGCAGAAGGGGAUUGACUGGAAAAGGUUUCAGGACUGGGAUGUGGGCGGGGAUUUAGGCAGACAGGUUAUUAGCCAGCUCAAUGAGCGCCAGGGCACCAUGAAGACGCUCCCGUUGCUCUUGGAGACGCCGUCUGGCAGCCCCACCCCCGUUGCCCUUCUCUUCCUCCAUUGGACCCUCCUCUUCUUCCUCGUCUGAUUGGAGAAACUCCCGGGGGUCCUGCUGCUCCUGGUCCUCCACCCCACCCUUUCCCUGGAUUUUCCCUUUGGUGGGCACAGGGGCACGCUGCUCACGGGUCUGCCAGUACCUGCCACAACACAGAGACAAGGGGGGAUAUGGGACUUCUCUCUGGGGAACACACGAUUGCAGAUGUUGCAGCGGAUGCGACUGGAGGAGCUCUCCCCCUCGUUGAUCAACUCACGGACAGUGUCAGCACGCGGGCGGCCACGCCGAAUACCGUCCUGGAAACAAAGUUAACUACAGUUUAAAUGAACAAAUGCAUCUUUCUUUACUUUCUGAAUAGUUCAUGUUGGCUUACAACAUCAUACUUUCAGUUUGGAAUGCAGCAUUAUUCCAGUAACAAUGUUUGUUUUACUAAAACAGUAACUAGUUGUUAUGCCGUCUUAUACCGAUGCUUUAUGAACAGCCUCAUUCAAAGCAAAAGUUCCCUCAAUGUCUAAUUCCAACUUUAAAUCAUUGCUGCCACACAUUAUAUAAAUCAACUUGAUGAUCAUUGUCAAAUAGGGAUAUUUGUUUGUCUGGUACAAAUGAAUGGUGCCAGGGCCACAAGCAGUUAAACAUUGUAGCAAGGUGCAUGUAUUCAUUCAUUCCAUGCACAUCCGGUAACUUUUUUUUUUUUUGCCGCGCGAGGUGACAUCACGUGUGACAGAUGUUACUGUAGGAAGUGACUGGGUUUUAAAAUUCAUCAUGUCACACCGUGAGCGCGGGCGUUUUUUUAAAACACACUUUUCCUAGUUGCCGUUUCAUUUAAAAAAAACGACAAUUAUGUAGAUUACAUUUCUCUUUUUGCGUCAUUAAAGUUCAUUUGUAUCUGGCCUUUCCGAUGAAUGUAACAUGAUCAUCUAUAUUGUCAAGUUGAAACAAUGUAACCAAUCAUUCAUUGCAAAAAGAUUAACUACGACAAACAACUGAAAGCUACAUGCAAAUGCUCAUGCAUUUAUCACGGUGUACUAACAGACAAACAAUUAAUGCAACGUCUAAGUAGGCUAUAUGUAUAGGCUACUUUCUAGUCAGUAAAACUAUCCUAGCCUACUAGAUAUGAUUUCAACUUCAACACGACGUUAUUAGGGUAAACAACAUGAACAACAACCUCCAACUUAUCCUACCUUAAACUGGUCAGAGGAGGCAGCCAGGUCAGCCUCGCUGGCGGUGUUGGUCCCGGUAGGUGAGGCAGCCCCGUUCACCGAGCCAGGGCUCAGACUCACAUUAUGGGCGUUCUCCCCCCACCCCCACGGGCACCCCAUGAAGUCGCUGAAUCCAGGGCUGGUCGGCAUCAGGGACCCGCUCUUCCUGCGCUUGAUCGGGGUGGUCUUGAUCACAGACACUAGGACCCUCUUUGGGGAGUCGCUGCAAAAAAUGACUUGAGGGUGCUUGUUCUCGGCCAUCGCUGAGAUGAAGACCGAUUUGUUCAAAACUGAUAACAUCUCAAAUUGUAUCACAAUGGUGUUCAGGAAUCACGUUGUCAUCCAAAGAUAGGCUAAACGCGUUUUUAUCAAGUAGCUUAACGUUAGCAAAAUAGCCUUCUAACAGAAGUUGGGUUAGGUAGGCAGCUAUACGACUGAAAGUGUCCCACCAAAUUCAGCUACUCAAUCAGGAGUGAAAAUAUUCUUCAUUUCCAGCGAUGUAGAAAACCGCGCCACAAUUCCUUAUUAAAAUUUUCACAAAUAUUCAUGAAUUUAGAUAAAUAGAAAGUCCGAUGUUCACAAGGUCAAUGUGGAUACAGCUCCUACUUCUGGAAGUCUUUCCCGCGUUGCAAAUCGCGCCUGGGCGGUUCAUUUGACAAAUCAGUUGAAGGUAAAUUAAAUCCUCCUACCACAUGUAUGGGAAAUAACCUAUUACAAGGGUCAAAGCAUGAGGUAAAUCCGAACGAGAGCAACACAGUAACCAAUGGUCAUCAUCAGAACUUUCAAAGUAAGCUCAUUGGUUGCUACUUUUUAUCCAAUGAAUGUUUGAACCGUUCUAGAGCGCGCCUUUACAGAUUGACAGCAGAUUGAACCAAUGUGCAUAACGCAUAAAACCGCUCCAGACACUGAGAUCCUUAAACCAAUAGCAAUGAAGGGCGGUUAAUUUUUACAGUGGACUGGGAUUGGACCGCUUCGGAUCAGAAGCCUCUCCCACGCAUAAAGUAGCCUAUGUUUAUAUUAUUACAUUUUUGGAACGAUUUAAAGGGAACGGGUGAGUCAAAGGCGCCAAAGUUACGUAGGUAGACAUAAUCAAGCCACCAGAGAGGAAAUGAAACUGAAAAAAGGUUGCAGUCAGUCAUUUAACCUAUGCCUAGUAGAAUACACUAUACACUAGUAGUCCUACACUAUACAAUUAUUACUAUAUUAUUACAUGAGGACUAUUAAAUUAAAUGAACCUGUUGUUUAUCAGAGGACUGUUUGUCCAAUGUAAGACUGGCAUUGUAACGUUUUUAAAACGAUAAUGAAAACAGAUUCAUUGCUUUACUCUGUGCAUAUGCACAUGGCUCUUAUGGGAUAUGUGCAGACAUGUAGGCCUACAUGUGUAAAGGAAAUAAAGU